CUGCUGCCUUCCGUAGGAGUUUGGACCGUGUCUCGGUUCCAAUGUGGGGGACCUUCCUCUCAGAACCCCUACGCAUCGUCGGCUUGGUGGGCCGUUGCCCCACCAACUACCUAAUGCGCCGCAUGCCCAUCCGUGACCGGGGUCGCCCCCUUUGGCCGGCAGGGGAUGUCCCCUCCCGGCAUUAUGUUGUAUUAGGCGGGAUUUCUCCCGGUUAUCCAUCUGUCACGGCCAGGUUGCAUACGUGUUACUCACCCGUGCGCCGGUCGCCGGCGG
rnacentral:rRNA from 1 species